UGGCUCUCGCAUCGAUGAAGAACGCAGCGAAAUGCGAUAAGUAAUGUGAAUUGCAGAAUUCAGUGAAUCAUCGAAUCUUUGAACGCACCUUGCACCCUUUGGUAUUCCGAAGGGUAUGCCCGUUUGAGUGUCAUUGUACUCUCACACCCAAGACUUUUGUGGUCGCGGGAGGUGGAUUUGGAGGUUGCCGCUGUUCUCAGCGGCUCUUCUUAAAUGUCUCAACGUGUUUUGGUCAAGCAUUUACCAGUGUAAUAAUUAUUUCAUUGGGGCUUGUGCCGAUCGCGUCCGUCCCCUUGGGACUGUUGCUCUAACCAACAUUUGACAACUUGACCUCAAAUCGGGUAGGACUACCCGCUGA
rnacentral:misc_RNA from 1 species